CACGUAGGGUGCGAGCGUUGUCCGGAAUUAUUGGGCGUAAAGAGCUCGUAGGCGGUCUGUCACGUCGGCUGUGAAAACCCGAGGCUCAACCUCGGGCCUGCAGUCGAUACGGGCAGACUAGAGUUCGGUAGGGGAGACUGGAAUUCCUGGUGUAGCGGUGAAAUGCGCAGAUAUCAGGAGGAACACCGGUGGCGAAGGCGGGUCUCUGGGCCGAAACUGACGCUGAGGAGCGAAAGCGUGGGGAGCGAACAGG
rnacentral:rRNA from 1 species